UCAAAUAUAAGAAUGAAUACUAAUAAAACGCUUAAAUCGAGCUUAUCCUUAAGGUGCUUAUCUUGCCCUGUCUACUUGUGUCGUAUAAUAAUUAUUUAGUUAGUGGCCACUUUGAGGUUGCCAGAACCUAAAUAUAUGACAGGAAAAUAAUUCUCGGCCUAUGCCUUUUCCAGGCUCAACGGACUGGUGUUCUACUAAACGAGUUCAUCGAAUCCGAAAUUGACGACGAUGUUAAUCAAUGCAUUGAAUUCUUUUCUCUGGAAAUGUUGCACCACAACUACAAGGUAGAGCUCUUUGGGUUAUUUUCCGUGGAUAUGUCACUAAUUUAUCAGGCAGUAGCUACAAUGACCGGAUACCUCAUCAUAAUGGUGCAAGUGGAAUUGUCUGAAUAAACGGAAAGUCAUACAUGACACCAUAGCGUAGUAUAUUUAAACUCCAUACUUCUAGCAUGAACAUGUUAAAUCAAAAGUUAAAUCAAUUAGGAAAAACAAUACCCCAAUCAAACUAUAUUAUUCAAGCGAA